UACGUAGGUGGCAAGCGUUGUCCGGAUUUAUUGGGCGUAAAGAGCUCGUAGGCGGCUUGGCAAGUCGGGUGUGAAAACUUCAGGCUCAACCUGGAGAUGCCACCCGAUACUGCUAUGGCUUGAGUCCGGUAGGGGACCACGGAAUUCCUGGUGUAGCGGUGAAAUGCGCAGAUAUCAGGAGGAACACCGGUGGCGAAGGCGGUGGUCUGGGCCGGCACUGACGCUGAGGAGCGAAAGCGUGGGUAGCAAACAGG
rnacentral:rRNA from 1 species